AGUAACACGUGGAUAACCUACCUAUAAGACUGGGAUAACUUCGGGAAACCGGAGCUAAUACCGGAUAAUAUUAUGAACCGCAUGGUUCAAAAGUGAAAGACGGUCUUGCUGUCACUUAUGGAUGGAUCCGCGCUGCAUUAGCUAGUUGGUAAGGUAACGGCUUACCAAGGCAACGAUGCAUAGCCGACCUGAGAGGGUGAUCGGCCACACUGGAACUGAGACACGGUCCAG
rnacentral:rRNA from 1 species